rnacentral:sRNA from 1 species
AUUUCGAGUGCUCGUACGAUCGUUGCGGGAAGGAGUUUCACCUUGAAUCCGUUGUGGGAGAGAGGACGCGUCUCCUC